rnacentral:siRNA from 1 species
CCGGAAGAAGUCUCGAUCUGGG